rnacentral:rRNA from 1 species
CAGUCGCCGCGGGAAUACGUAGGGUGCAAGCGUUAAUCGGAAUUACUGGGCGUAAAGCGUGCGCAGGCGGUUUUGUAAGUUUGUCGUGAAAGCCCCGGGCUCAACCUGGGAAUUGCGAUGAAGACUGCAAGGCUUGAAUCUGGCAGAGGGGGGUAGAAUUCCACGUGUAGCAGUGAAAUGCGUAGAGAUGUGGAGGAACACCGAUGGCGAAGGCAGCCCCCUGGGUCAAGAUUGACGCUCAUGCACGAAAGCGUGGGGAGCAAACAGGAUUAGAUACCCCUGUAGUCCCUGUCUCUUAUAC